rnacentral:rRNA from 1 species
CUCGUAGCUGCAUGUCUAAGCACAAAGUCCUAGUAUGAUGAAGCUGCGAACGGCUCAUUACAACAGUUAUAAUCUUUUUGAUGAAGUACGUACAAGGAUAUCUUUGAGAAUGUCAAAGCUAAUACUUGACGGUUUUCACCCCUUGUCGAGUCCAUUCCCUCUGGGAGUGUAAUCGAUGAGGGCGGGGGAUGCUUCACGUAUCCUCUACAUAUUACCACUUUUUUUGAAUGAGGGUGGAAUAUAUGCCAAGAGAAUUGUAGAAAUCGAGAGAUUUUCACAAGUCAUCAUUAAGAAUAUCUGACCUAUCAACUGGUUGUUGGUAAGGUAGUGGCUUACCAAGGUGAUAACGGGUAACGAGGAAUAAGGGUUCGACAUCGGAGAGGGAGCUUUAGAGAUGGCUACCACUUCUAAGGAAGGCAGCAGGCGCGAAAAUUACCCAAUCUUAACAAAUGAAGGAGGUAGUGACGACAAUUAACGCUAUCCUCGUCUUUUGGCGAGGAUCGUCGGAAUGAUUUCGAUUUAAAAUAUCGAAAGAAAGCAAUUGGAGGGCAAGUCUGGUGCCAGCAGCCGCGGUAAUUCCAGCUCCAAUAGUGUAUUGUAAAGUUGUUGUGAUUAAAACGCUCGUAGUUGAAUGAAAACAAUCGGGACAUGAUUUACGAUCUCUCCUCCAUACGGUGGAUUCGUCCAUUAGGUCGAGUUGAUCAAAAAUCAAACAAUGUCCUACUAUAAGCGAGAGGGUGGAAUUAAUUCCAAACUCUUUUACUUUGAUUAAAUCAAGGUGCUUAAAGCAAAAUCUUCUGUUAACGAAUGAUGAAGCAUGGUAUAGAAUUAAAACAGAACAGAAAGAAUAACGAAUAAAUGGAGAUGGGCAACCAUUCGAAAUUUAUUUAUUUUUGUUUUGUUUAAAACAAGGUUAAGAGAAAUGAUUAGGGUGAUUUAGAUAGGAACGGGAGAGGUGGAAUUCCAUGAUCGUUUCGAGAUAAACGAGAGCGAAAGCAUUUCACUGAAUUCAUUUCAUUAAUCAAGAACGAAAGUCAGGGAAUCAAAGACGAUUAGAUACCGUCGUAGUCCUGACCAUAAACGAUGUCAACUAAGGAUUGGAUAAGAAACAUCGAAGUAUGAGCCUUUUUCUCCAACUUGUUGGAAAAAAAGCGUUUCGCUUCAUUUCUUCCCUUAUUCAGGACUUGAUGAGAAAUCAUUAAGUGAAUGGACUUCAGGGGGAGUAUGGUCACAAGGCUGAAACUUAAAGGAAUUGACGGAAGGGCACACCAGGAGUGGAGCCUGCGGCUUAAUUUGACUCAACACGGGAAAACUUACCAAGACCAAACGGUGUAAGGAAUGACAGAUUACUGGGUCUUUCAUGAUUCAUCGGGGAGU